ACACAUGCAAGUCGAGGGGCAGCAUGAUUGAAGCUUGCUUCAAUUGAUGGCGACCGGCGCACGGGUGAGUAACGCGUAUCCAACCUUCCGUACACUCAGGGAUAGCCUUUCGAAAGAAAGAUUAAUACCUGAUGGUAUGAUGAGAUUGCAUGAUAGCAUCAUUAAAGAUUUAUCGGUGUACGAUGGGGAUGCGUUCCAUUAGGUAGUAGGCGGGGUAACGGCCCACCUAGCCUACGAUGGAUAGGGGUUCUGAGAGGAAGGUCCCCCACAUUGGAACUGAGACACGGUCCAAACUCCUACGGGAGGCAGCAGUGAGGAAUAUUGGUCAAUGGACGAGAGUCUGAACCAGCCAAGUAGCGUGAAGGAUGAAGGUCUUACGGAUUGUAAACUUCUUUUAUAAGGGAAUAAAACCUCCCACGUGUGGGAGCUUGUAUGUACCUUAUGAAUAAGCAUCGGCUAACUCCGUGCCAGCAGCCGCGGUAAUACGGAGGAUGCGAGCGUUAUCCGGAUUUAUUGGGUUUAAAGGGAGCGCAGACGGGUCGUUAAGUCAGCUGUGAAAGUUUGGGGCUCAACCUUAAAAUUGCAAUUGAUACUGGCGUCCUUGAGUGCGGUUGAGGUGUGCGGAAUUCGUGGUGUAGCGGUGAAAUGCUUAGAUAUCACGAAGAACUCCGAUUGCGAAGGCAGCACACUAAGCCGUAACUGACGUUCAUGCUCGAAAGUGUGGGUAUCAAACAGGAUUAGAUACCCUGGUAGUCCACACGGUAAACGAUGGAUACUCGCUGUUGGCGAUAUACGGUCAGCGG
rnacentral:rRNA from 1 species